rnacentral:siRNA from 1 species
ACCCUGAGGGAGUCAACGGU